rnacentral:lncRNA from 1 species
UUAUUAUAUUCUCGCGUAGUUUCUGUCAUACUUAAUUUUAUUUUUAUUUUAACCCGAUAAGUAGGAGUGAUAGUUUAUAACACUGGCAGUGUAUAUGGUAGUCUUAUCUAGUUUCCAAAAAUUAAGGAAGUUUAUUCCAAGCCCUGCAGCUCUUAUCAUACAAGAUUGAAUGAUUGAUGAAUCAAUGAUGGUGAACUGUGGCUGAAAUUUAAAGUUUUUGUACUUCACAUGAAACAAUGCUGUGUGAAAUGGAGUAAAAUAUCAUUAAGGAAACCCGGCAUCAAGUCUCUACUCCUCUCAUUAUGGUGCUAAUGGGUUAGCCAGAAGUGAAAGCAGUAACGACUCAGAUUAAGAUCAAGUUAAUAGAUUUGAAGAAGGAGGAUGA